AGUGGAAAGGGAUGUUUGUGAUACAGGUUGUCCCUCUUUCGAUAGACGUAGGAGUCUUCACAGAACUUCUUCUGCACAGAACACCUCCAGCAUUUUAUAGGGGCAGUGUCAACAUAAACGUCAUAUAUUCAGUGCUGCCUAAUUUUGCAAUUUUACUGCCAGUCUCACAAUGGUUGGCGUUUACGUAAGGCCCUGGUUGCUGGUAUCAACAGACUGAAUAAGAGUCUCAGCUUUAUUAAAGAAGAAACGUAAGUUUAAAGACAAUAUAUGGCCCCAGUGUACCAUAAAAGCUCAGGACUCAGAAGGUGAAGACAAAGAACCCAACAUAUAUGAGUUUUCUUAAUAAUCUCCCACUUGGUAUUUGAAUUGUGAGGCUUUGGGGAUGGCAACACUGUAUAUAUUUUUUAAAUGCCCGAGAUAGGUUAGCACAACCACCCAACUCUUCAGGACAUGGUUAACUUUAUUUCUAGGUAUAUAUGUUUUAUCUACCUUUGUACUUCACUGAGCUUAGACAGUUAGAUUCACUAGGCUAGGCAAUUUCACAUUCUGCACUAGCCCAAUGCUACAGUGGUUUUCCAAUACCACAGGGUAGCAUUACAGUGGCAGGAAUGGAGAGCAACCACUGUUAUAUUCUACUAUAAAACUAACAGGUGACUUGGGAUGGGCUACCUUUGACCCUACUGCAGUCCCCCUUCCCUUUCUGAGUCCGACUUCCCAAACAGCAGGUACAGUAAUAUCCAAAAAAAUUUUGUCAACAGAGGAAACCAUCUAUAGAUAUAGUUCCACAAUUUUUUCAUAUUACCACUGCUUGAGGUUAUGCUGAACCCUGUACUGUGCUACCUAUUUAGUCAAUAUUGUUUUCUGGAACAAAGCAAAAUAUUUCCUGUAUACAUUUAAUAUAAGUGCAUUUACUAAGAGCCAAUGGGCAAAAGCUAAUUCAGGUUUUGCCAUCAAGUUCAAUGGGACCAAGAUUUACCCACUGCUUUGUUUUCCUGCUAUAAAGCACAAUUGUUUGAAGUGGAAGACAAAUAAGUAUGUGAGUUCCUUUCAGACUGAGGCUGUUGCAGGCUAGGUAGAAAAUUGUGGAAAUCCAUUGAUAAAAUAUUGAUAGCACAUCACUGCUGCAGGAGAAUGUUAAAAUACUUUUUUAAAAACUUCUGGCUAUUAUUUGGUUUUGUAAAAAACUUUUUUUUUGUAAAUAAAACUUAAAUUUGGACUUUGAACAGACAGAUGCACAUAAACCUUCAUAUCCAGGGCCCUCUGGUGCUUCCAGGGGAAAACCAGAAGAAACACAUCUCAAGCUGAUGAUAAAUAUGUUACCAGUCCAUAGGGGUUCAUUCUUUGACAGCUGAUCUAAGCAGUGAUCAUGAAAGAUGUAAUGACAGCCUGCUAUACACUGAUCUGAACUCAGUCUCACUUAAAAAGUUAGAAGGAGUUUGAUUGGUUUUAGUGGAGGUUGGAGACAAUAAAAGAUAACAGCUCAAAUGUGAGCUAAAUACACAGUAUCAGAGACCUAGGGCACAGGAAAUGAGGGUUAAUUUUCAGCCUUUUUGUUUUGCGGGUAACACGGAUAAAGGAGCAGAUAUCUUCAAGGGAAUUAGAAGACAUUUUAAAAUUCAAUAUUACCUAUCACUGUAUGAUCACUGAAGUCACACAAAUCAAGAGGCAUUAUAGAUGUAUUUCACACUUAUGUCCCUUGACAGUAUUAAAAUAUUAAUGGAAUCAUUUUGCCAUAAAAAGCAAAAACUACUGGAAACUCUUGAGCUUAAACAAUCAGCUGACAGAAGAAGGGAAUCUUUUAAAAAUAUAUUUUGUUUGACCUACUUAGAAAUAGAAGAGUGUAAUUUCAGGUAUUGUUUAUACAUACGUUUCAACUACGGUGGAAUUUUUUUUUUAAAACCUUAAAUUCGGCAGAGACAACCUGAAAUGUCCUCAAUUAAAUGUUCUUUCCUUCUGUUUAGCACAAUGCAUUGUAAAAUGACUACACCUCAGAAUCAAAUGGGAAAACAGUGGCAUUGUUAUUUAUAAUAAAAUAUAUAUAGCAAAAGCAAUCUGUAAAACA